AUGUAUAUAGGAUAUAUCGUUUCCAGGAAAAACGCAUUGGACGAAAUUUCCUCUGCUGGAAUAAAAGGGCUGGUGGAACAUUUCUACUUCGCUGAAAAUUCUGUAGACAUCCUUCAACCUCAAGGCAUCUCUGUCACAGCUCAAACGGUCUUGAUUUGGCAAAAUACCUUCAAAGACAUGAAAAGCGGAGCCUUGGAAAAAAUAAGUCCCGGCCUAUUGCCAGACAGUCUUGGUGGCAAUUUCACGUAUAAAUUCUUCCUCAAUAGAAUCAAUCGCAUGGAAGCACGAAGUUUACACCCCGACUUUGAAGCUUACGAGAUGCUGCCCACGAAAAUUCACAUCAAGAGUAAUCUUGUUGUGUAGAAACUCAGGGUGGCUAUUUUCGCAAACCGGCCAAAAUCAAACACCAACUGCAGUCGAAAGAUUCUACGCCACUUUCGUGGCCAAAAAUUAUCGCAAUUCUUGUUCCAGCUCCUGCAGAUUGCCGAUCGCUGAUACUAAAGUGAUGAUUCGCGACGGAAAAUGCGAUGAAAAUAUCACAGUGGAAGAGCUGUGUCUGAACCAGAAAACAUAGCCAAUAGAAAAAAUAUCUCGCACUAUUUACAGUACUGCGUAACAGAUGAUUAAACGAAUAUUUUGGGCAGACAUUCAA